rnacentral:lncRNA from 1 species
GGGAAAGCGGGCACAGGAGAGAACGGCUGUUUGUCUGUCUUCUGUGCUCCUGCUUUGUUAGGCCACAUUGAAAGCUAACGGUGCUUGUUUUGCUUAACUUGGACUUUGUUAGUUAUGCAGUUAUAACAUUCCUUGUUCGCUUGUGUGCAGGUCCUGCCCUGUGGGUACGUAAGCACGUGCUCUGCCCGUCUGAGCAGCAUCACCGAGCGCCUGUCCUUGCUGAGCUGGUCAGUGAUUUCGUCUUUAGCAGCAGCAUCACUGGAAAAAGACUGCAAUUGAGGGCUUUGAAGCUGCGCUUCCUUAGAAUGAAGACUUAA